rnacentral:rRNA from 1 species
UACGUAUGGAGCAAGCGUUAUCCGGAUUUACUGGGUGUAAAGGGAGCGUAGACGGUAAGGCAAGUCUGAUGUGAAAGGUGUGGGCUCAACCCGCAAACUGCAUUGGAAACUGGUUUACUUGAGUGUCGGAGAGGUAAGUGGAAUUCCUAGUGUCGCGGUGAAAUGCGUAGAUAUUAGGAGGAACACCAGCGGCGAAGGCGGCUUACUGGACGAUAACUGACGUUGAGGCUCGAAAGCCAGGGGAGCGAAC